UGGAUUAACUGGCCGAAAGUCACAUGGUUAGUCAGUGGCAGAGCAUGGGUUCAGAUCCAGACUCCCCGACUCCAGGAUCUCAACCCUCCAGCUGCGUGACUUACUCCUGGGCUGGACUGGGAGUGUUCAAAGGAGCAUGUGCCACGGAACCGGGAAGCAGGUGCCCAGCUGGAGACGCUGGGAGGUUAAACGCUUGCUGAGAUCACCGCUGGCAAGUAGUGGAGUUAAGACUUAUACCCAGGCCGUUAGACUCCAGACUUGUGCCCCUGGCCGCUGCCUUCUCCUUCCUAAAGCUGCAUUUUCAUCCCUCAUCUCCUUCAAGUGCUUUGGAUAGUGCCACACCGUGUCCUGGUGUCAUUUCAGACUCACAGAGAAAGGCUGAGGCUUCCUCCCAGGCUCCCUGGGGAAAUGCCUGGUGUGGACCAAGGAAGAUGACGGAAUCACAACUAUAAUUAACCGGGAUCGAAUGCUUCCUAUGUGCUGACGAGCGUUCCGUGGAUUGUUUCACUUCAGCCUCAGAGCAACUCGAUGAGAAAAAGUUUGCCAACGCCUGGUCUAUCCAGUCAACAGAAGGAUCAACAGCCAUGUCUCUACCCACCCCUUCAGUGGUUCCUGUUGGUGACAGAGU